AAGGAAAAGAGGAAAAAAAAGAAGAAGAAAAAAAGUGUGUGUGUGUGUGUGUGUCUGUGAUUGAAUGAUUCUUAUUUCUUGUAUUUU
rnacentral:ribozyme from 1 species